AGAGUUUUGAUCCUGGCUCAGGACGAACGCUGGCGGCGUGCUUAACACAUGCAAGUCGAACGGUGAAGUCAGAGCUUGCUCUGGCGGAUCAGUGGCGAACGGGUGAGUAACACGUGAGUAACCUGCCCCCGACUCUGGGAUAACUGCUAGAAAUGGUAGCUAAUACCGGAUAUGACGACUGGCCGCAUGGUCUGGUCGUGGAAAGAAUUUCGGUUGGGGAUGGACUCGCGGCCUAUCAGGUUGUUGGUGAGGUAAUGGCUCACCAAGCCUACGACGGGUAGCCGGCCUGAGAGGGUGACCGGCCACACUGGGACUGAGACACGGCCCAGACUCCUACGGGAGGCAGCAGUGGGGAAUAUUGCACAAUGGGCGCAAGCCUGAUGCAGCAACGCCGCGUGAGGGAUGACGGCCUUCGGGUUGUAAACCUCUUUUAGUAGGGAAGAAGCGAAAGUGACGGUACCUGCAGAAAAAGCACCGGCUAACUACGUGCCAGCAGCCGCGGUAAUACGUAGGGUGCAAGCGUUGUCCGGAAUUAUUGGGCGUAAAGAGCUCGUAGGCGGUUUGUCGCGUCUGCUGUGAAAUCCCGAGGCUCAACCUCGGGUCUGCAGUGGGUACGGGCAGACUAGAGUGCGGUAGGGGAGAUUGGAAUUCCUGGUGUAGCGGUGGAAUGCGCAGAUAUCAGGAGGAACACCGAUGGCGAAGGCAGAUCUCUGGGCCGUAACUGACGCUGAGGAGCGAAGCAUGGGGAGC
rnacentral:rRNA from 1 species